rnacentral:rRNA from 1 species
GUCCUUUAGAAUAGAAUUUAAGGUCUGACCUGCCCACUGAAAAUUUUUAAAGGCCGCAGUAAUUUGACUGUGCAAAGGUAGCAUAAUCAUUAGUUUUUUAAUUAAAAGCUUGUAUGAAGGGUUGGACGAGAUAAAGACUGUCUCUGAAUAAAUAGUAGAAUUUAAUUUUUAAGUUAAAAAGCUUAAAUAUUAUUAAAAGACGAGAAGACCCUAUAGAUCUUUAUAGUUAAUAAUUAAUUUUAUUUAUGAUUUUUUUAUUUAUUAGUAGUUAAACUAUUUUAUUGGGGUAAUAGAAAGAUUUAAAUAAUUCUUUUUUAAGGAAAACAAUAAUAAUUGAAAAUUUGAUCCAUUAUUAGUGAUUAUAAGAUUAAGUUACCUUAGGGAUAACAGCGUAAUUUUUUUAAAGAGUUCAUAUCGAUAAAAAAGUUUGCGACCUCGAUGUUGGAUUAAAACUUAUCUUAGGUGCAGAAUUUUAAGAUUUUGGUCUGUUCGACCAUUAAAGUUUU